rnacentral:lncRNA from 1 species
CCCUUCUCUUGGUGAAACCCUAUUUCCUAGUCUAUAAAAAGGGUGGUCCUCCUCUUUGGCAUCAUGCUUCUCUUCUUUCUUGCUGGUGUUUUCAUUUUCAGAGCCUCUUCUCCUCUUCCACUCUUUCUCCUCCAGAUCUCUUCUUGCUUUGGAGUGUUUAAGUUGCUUGAAAAAGAAGAAGGAAGAGAUCAGUUGUCAAAGUUGC